rnacentral:lncRNA from 1 species
CAACUGUAAACUGAGAAGUGGAAUUACAAGGAAAAGAGCCUCACAUGGUAGGAAGGGUUAUUACAUAAUGGUAGAUGCUGCUCAAAGAUCAUUGCAAUAGACCCGCUGGAAACACGCAGACAUUUAGGGUCACGUCAAUAUAUGCCUCACUAUAGUGAAAAUAAUUGUAGUUCAAUGCAAUUUACAUUUACGAUUUACCAUACAUCUACACCUGAUUUAAAAUAGCAUAUCCGCUACUGGUGUUUGCAAAAAAUAAACACAGGCCACCCAUUAGAAGAAAAAUAGUUAUAUAUAUACAACACAAAAUUAAAGGAAAUAUAUAACUUUGUUUUGCCAAGUCCUAAUAGUGAACUCAAGUCCUAAUAGUGAACUCGGUUUACAUCAAUUUUGGCAAAAUGUGAAUCAUCUGUUGAACAAAUAAUUUAAUUAUUAUUAUGAUAGACCCAACAAUUUUAGCUUGUCUUACCAAAUUAUUAGGCAUGGCAAUACAGAGGUUAACUCAACAAAUAUACUAACUGUGAACCAGAGCUGAAGGAUCUGCUUCGGUCUAAAUUCAUGUCAGGAUUCAAUCUGUAAUGUCAUUGGCUUGUAUCUGCAGAUGCAGUACAGAUGCUAUACAUAGAACAAUUAUAUCUAUUAGAUCUCCUCCAUCAAUUGCAACAUAUACCUCCAAGAAGUAAGACCACAGAAGCAGUCUACCGGAUCAGGAAAGAGCAAGCCCGAGAAUUACCUUGGACAAGUACUGCACAUGGCAGCUAUUAUAUUAUUUUAGCUUAAGCUGGUCUUGAGUUGGUAAUUAGUAGUGAUAAUGUCUACAUGCCUUCAAUAAAAAAAACGAGUAUUGUGCUACUGCUGACCUUAGAGACCUAGCUGUAGUUCAGUUUCAGCUGCAAUUAUAUUUGAAAACAGUUAGCAAAAGUGAAGAGAGAAAACAAUAAAGAAUAGAGAAGAUAACAUGAAACAGAAAAUAAAAUAAAAGGAGAGAGGAAAAGAAAAUAAAGAAAACCCUCCCCUGCCUGAGUUGGCCGAGAGGCCCAGUUCCUUCCUCCUCUUUUCUUCUGGUGCAGUAACCAGCAGCAGCUGUGGCAAGUGGCCCAGCAAAUCACCAGAAGCCGGCCUUGGAAGGAACAGCCGCAGGCUUCAUUCCUCCCCUGCUCGUUUACGAACCAAACUCAAGGCAUAACCCGAGUUGGAUGCAAGCACCGCGCUCGAAUUAACCUCCCGACUGAACCCUAUAUAGUCCAUUGCCCUAUGCACCGCCUCGCUUUUCUGAUUUGACGCGCUAGCCGAGCCCUAACCCCCUCGCGACGCAGCGCCACCGUCGCUGUGCAAAUCCCGUCGAGCUGUCGGGGUGUUCGCGGUUUGGAACUUCUCGGUAUUCCGCA